AAGGUGAGAGAUCUUAGUAGGGCAGGUUGGGAUGACGCCACGAAGACCAUCACACUUGAUCCUAUGGUUGCCCUGACUUACAUCGAGGUUAUGGUAUAAUGGCAAUGAUGAAAGGCAAGUGUGACAUUGCACUGAGGCACACGCGUUUAUGGGACAAAAACCAGAUUGGGGCGCUGGCGGGGCAAAAUGACUGGUAGUUCCUUGCCAAUCUUUUGCAGCCAUUGCGUAUCUCAUUUGGUAAUUGGUUCCCUAUGUAUUUUCCCGUUUCUAAAUGUAUGGAUGUAUUUGUUUAUAUGAGUGUGGCGAGGCAAUUAGGAGGCACUUGCUGCCACCAUUGCAGCCACCUUGUAUAGUUUGUAGUCGCUUCGGUUGUUUUUACAUAAACUAUAAUGCCAAUGAAUGUGCAUAAUGUCACUCUUGCUAUUACCUGAGCCAUGCCAAGAAGACAGGACUUGCUACGGACACAAGGCAGACAUGAUCUGAUUUAUGAGGCAUGUGGAUGGAUUCCAUUGAGAUACUACAAAUACAGUUGUUCAGACAAAACAAUGUUGGGGUCUUCUAUUCAAAAAUCUGAGGCUGGAAAACUGGGUUCACAGUGCUUUUAUUGUUGUCGCAAAACUUUUGAAAUCAAGACAUUGCUGGGUGCAUGUAUUGAUAGAUACAAAUUGUUAUGUUUGUAUGUUUUCAUUCACCAUCUGUUUGGUAAGUAUUUGAACAAAUGAUAGAUCAUGCUGAAUUUGUAUGGCUUCUUAGUGAAGUAUGUAUGUUCCGAAUUUCGUAUUUUCUUAAUUUGA